AUAGUGAGCAGUCCAUCUGCCUCUUGAGUUCUUCUGUAUGGUAAUUGACUGUGUGAUGGGAUUUCCCCUUGGGAAAGGAAUGCCUUUUGAGGUUGUGUCUGCUAUAAAAAUCCCUUAAACCUUGCUGCAGAGAGAUGCCUUGCAGGGUGUGCAAAUUACUGUUAUAACGGCCAGCUGUAUAUUUCAUGAGUCCACACUUCAACCUUCCAGUGAUGUUCUUGAAGAUAAGAGUUGCCUUCGUAUUCUUUGCAUCAGGAGUACUGGCUCUAAAAAUGAGGUUCAUCUGUAUCCUUGUGUCUGCAGAGUUUACCAACACACCUGCUCCCUAUAGCAGCAUCCCUGGCCAUGCAGUGGCUAUGUGUUUCUCUAUUUUGAAGCAGGAAAUUACUGCCUGAAAAAGAAAAUUGAAGUUGAGGCUGAAACUGGAAACGAAGGUCUACUGGUCAGUGAGGAUGUCUGUGUGAACAAAAAGACAUUGCUAGAUGUAAAGCAAUAAUGAUCACAAAGUAAUUGAUGUGCUUUGUUCGGGGAGGCUGGAGAAUGAUUGUCCUGCAAUACCUAAAGCCAAGAGAGUGAAAUUAAAUUCACAGUUGCAAUUUUACAAAUGUAAGCUACAACUGUUGGAGAAUACACUAUUGGCAUUUAAAUGAAGCAGAAGAAGUGGCAAACACAACAAAAUGCCUAUAAUCUGACUAAUUGCUGCAAGUGUUUUAGAAUCCGUGGUAAGGCAGGAAAAAAUUGAAGACAGGGAGGUGAGCAGAAAAUAGAAAGACAGCAAAACAGAUUUAAUGAAGGCAGGGCUUCAUGCUGCCUGAUAUCUUCCUUUGAUAUGAAAUUGUAUCCCUGGGAUUUUCCUUGUUUAGAAAAUCAAAAGUUUGAGGCAGAGCCUUGUGGGAAACUACCAGUAAAAUCAGCAAAUAUGGGGAGCAGUGCAAGAGUUGUAAGGUGAAAAAAGGAAGUGACUGAUCAGGAGGUUUUAGCAGUUGCAUCAAAAGGAGCUGUGUCAGUCUCAGAGAGGUUAUGGAUUACUCUUGGAUUGGUCAACAGACAAAAAAGGAAAUAAUAAAGAAAUACCUUCCUUUAGCAGGUGGCUAGGAGCAACAGAUGUGGCAUGGCUAUGUAAAGGCAGAUACUGUAACGGGCUGUACUGGGAGCAGCACAUCCAAGUAAACAAAUAGUGAUGCCAAUAAGUAAGGCACCGGUCAUGCAUCAGAAAUUGUAUCUGUAAAUGUAAUAUUCUGGUCAACUACAUUCAAGUGAGAUGAAUCUCAGGCCAACAAGAGCAGGAAAGUACAGUGGACAGGAGCAAGUGAGGCUAUUUACAAAAAGAAACUAGUAGAGUAUGACUCUUAUAGUCUACCAAAAGAAGGAUGUCAGUAUGAGAACUGACAUCAAAAUACAUGACAGAGAUAGUACACAAAACACACUCAGCACUGAAGAAGGAAACAUUAAUAAUGCAGGAGAAAGAACAGACAAAUACAGACUAGUGAAGGACACGCUUGAGAUAGAAAUUUGUAACCAUCAGAGAAGUGAGGCUCUGGAAGAGGUCAUUGUACAAGGGACAAACUGUUUUGGAGAUGACGCAUAGUUUGGGCUGCUUGCAAUCUCAAGGGCUGAACUCAAUGAUCUAGGAGCCCUCCUAUGUUAAGGAGGAAUGGGAGUGUGUCAUAGGUGGAUGCGGGGACAUAAUCUUGGUAUGAAUUGUUCUUCACUGCCCUCUGCUGUGGGUAUAUAUAUAUAUAUCUAUUUACGUCAGUAGUGUUUGAGCAGAAUCUGACUGAUUCUUGGAUCUGAUAGCUUUGGAAGUACUAGACAAUCCUUUCACCUCAGAUUUGUCACCCAACAGAAUAUGUCCUGGAGGAUGCUGCCCUCUGAGGAUGUUCUAAAAGACCUGGGAGAAGGCAAUGCAUCAGUUGCAGGAAGGUAGAUAAGCAGUUGAAAGAGAUUCUCUGUUUUGCAUAUCUGUUGUGGGGAAGGAGUAGCAUACAAAGUACGGAAUAUAAACCGUGGGUGAAGCAUGAAUUCUACAGUUACUAAGAGACUUCACAUUCCAUCAAUUCUAAGAAGACCUCUGGUCUUUAAUCCAAUAACUGAGGCUUACAAGCACUUUGUUACCAUAACUCACUAAAUCUUCAUGACUCCAUAGGUCAGAAACACAGCCCUGGUUAUUAGAAUUCAAUAGAUCUCCACCUCCUUACAUCAAGAUUAGGUCUGGUCAUCCUGAUGGCCUUUGCCAUAGCUUGUGUUAAUUUGGAUACAGCAUUUAUCUAUGCAGUUUGACAGUAAAAUUAUCAGUUAUCUGAAUAAUGUAAUAUGAAAAGGAAAUGCAAUUUCAUUUAGAGAUCAACAGAGAUAAUUUAGUAUUCCAAAUAGCCUCUUGACAGAUACCUGCAAAUUAAAGGUUACUUUCUUCCUCCAUUUAAUAACAGGGCUCUCCUAAAUGCAUCCAUCUUAGUAAAAAAAAAUAAAUUCAAAAUCUAAUUUAUCAACUCCCCACAUAGUACUAGGAUAUUUAUAAGCAAGCAACAACUGAAUUAGUUCAGCCUUUAGUAAGCCUAUAAAUAUCACUUAAAGGAAUAGACAUUGAGACUUCUUUUGUGAGCUCAGAUCAGUGAGCUACUAUUGAAAUCCUCCCAAACCUCCCAUUUUGGUUCUUCGUUCCACAGGCAGCUACUAAAGACAUUCAAAACCAAGCUCAUGAUUUUGAUUUACAGUAGUUGUUUUCAGGGCCUGAUAGCACAUUUAAAGAAGUACCUCACAAUUUUUGCAGUUAGGAUUAUUUUCAUGUGGAAUAGGACCAUCCCUUCUGCAAUGUGCUGCAAAGAACUGCUACACCUGUCUGAGGCCUCAGAAACAGGAUUUGCUCUCCCUUGCCCUGCCAGUGUCAUCACUGAUGCCCUGUUAGCCGCACUAAGGCAAAGGUUUGUUCCCCAGAGCUCUCCCUCCUUGGCCCACCUUCAGGGCACUGAAAACAAAGAAAAGACAAUAAGGUAUUGUUUAUAUUUUGAGCUUAGAGCAUCUGUAAAACAACCUAAUUGACUGCUAGAAUCUGAGUAGAAGGUCAUAGUGAUCUCCGCAGAAGAUGCUUGUUACUCACCAGCUAGCCAGUGUGCUUAAAUAAUUAGUUUCUAUGAGAAUAAUAUGCUAGUCUAUUUUUAUUUUAUUUUAUUUUAUUUUUAGCUAUGUGGUUGAGACAUACAUUUUAGCAAUCAGGAAAAUGAGGAUGGAAACGUAGUGCUGUUUCCUGCCUAUGGCACUUUUUCUCCACCAUAUAAACUGCUGGAUCACUGUCAAA